AUUGAACGCUGGCGGCAUGCUUUACACAUGCAAGUCGAACGGCAGCGCGGGCUUCGGCCUGGCUGCGAGUGGCGAACGGGUGAGUAAUGCAUCGGAACGUGCCCAGUAGUGGGGGAUAGCCCGGCGAAAGCCGGAUUAAUACCGCAUACGACCUGAGGGUGAAAGCGGGGGACCGAAAGGCCUCGCGCUAUUGGAGCGGCCGAUGUCGGAUUAGCUAGUUGGUGGGGUAAAGGCUUACCAAGGCGACGAUCCGUAGCUGGUCUGAGAGGACGACCAGCCACACUGGGACUGAGACACGGCCCAGACUCCUACGGGAGGCAGCAGUGGGGAAUGUUGGACAAUGGGGGCAACCCUGAUCCAGCCAUGCCGCGUGCGGGAAGAAGGCCUUCGGGUUGUAAACCGCUUUUGUUCGGGAAGAAAUCCUCUGGGCUAAUACCCCGGGGGGAUGACGGUACCGGAAGAAUAAGCACCGGCUAACUACGUG
rnacentral:rRNA from 1 species